UACGUAGGGGGCAAGCGUUGUCCGGAAUCAUUGGGCGUAAAGAGCGUGUAGGCGGCUCGGUAAGUCCGCUCUGAAAGCCCGGGGCUCAACCCCGGGAGGCGGGCGGAUACUGUCGGGCUAGAGUCCGGAAGAGGCGAGUGGAAUUCCUGGUGUAGCGGUGAAAUGCGCAGAUAUCAGGAGGAACACCCGUGGCGAAGGCGGCACUCUGGGACGGUACUGACGCUGAGACGCGAAAGCGUGGGGAGCGAACAGG
rnacentral:rRNA from 1 species